CAAACGACCGGCAGGUGGUGGCCAAGAGUCACCCAAGUUGGCCAAUGCCUUGAUCAAACAUGCGUCGAUAAAGCACCAGACUCUCCACCGCCGCACCAACUAAAUAGUUCAGAAUAUUUCAACUGCAAGACUAUUGACUACGUGACCGUCAUACCUGCUCAUCUCAUCGUGGCGGCUUCCUGCCAGGUUGAAUGCAGCUACACCGUGUUCGAACAUCGCGCGGACGGUGUCAAAUGCUUGCUGGAGUACAGUCGUACAUCGAACAUAGAGAAGUUAGGAAAAAGAACGGGAGUGUACAGAACUGGCGUUUGCAAGAAGGGCUACUGCACUCUUGGGAAGAAUUCGAUGAACAUUACAACUGAUGACUGAGUAGUGUGCAGGCCGUUUGUUGCAAGGCCAAAGUGCGGGAGUUUAAAACAUAAAACAGAGUGGUCCCGGUACACUCUGCUACGCCUGCACUGUAAGAGAGACAAGCGACUCACUUUAAACUGACACUCAAGUAAAACAGUUGACGCCAAUGGAAAUAAAUGCUUUGCAGACGGGUA